CGGAACGAAAAGGUUUGGCCUAAUAAGCUGAGCUCAUGACGGUACCGUAAGAAUAAGCACCGGCUAACUACGUGCCAGCAGCCGCGGUAAUACGUAGGGUGCGAGCGUUAAUCGGAAUUACUGGGCGUAAAGCGUGCGCAGGCGGUUAUGUAAGACAGAUGUGAAAUCCCCGGGCUCAACCUGGGAACUGCAUUAGUGACUGCAUAGCUGGAGUACGGCAGAGGGGGAUGGAAUUCCGCGUGUAGCAGUGAAAUGCGUAGAUAUGCGGAGGAACACCGAUGGCGAAGGCAAUCCCCUGGGCCUGUACUGACGCUCAUGCACGAAAGCGUGGGGAGCAAACAGGAUUAGAUACCCUGGUAGUCCACGCCCUAAA
rnacentral:rRNA from 1 species